rnacentral:tRNA from 1 species
GUGGUUGUGGCUCAGUGGUAGAACGCUUAUCUUGCACAUGGGGGAACCUGGGUUCGAUCCUCAGCACCACA